UUAUAUAUUUUAAAUCCAGUAAUGAGUGUUUAUUUUUGUUCAUCAGUAAAUGAAAACGGUUAUUAUCCUGAUAUGAAUUCAGCUUAUGAUCCUGAAUUUAUAUUGUUAAAGCAGUCAAUGAUAUUAUUUCAGAGUUAUAACUGACUUAGCAAAGUCACGUUAUUUAUUUAAGCGAGAUGGAAUUUUAUUUUAUUUUUACUUAGGUCGUGAGUUAUUUCCGACUCAAGAAGUUAAUUAAAUCUGCGGAUUUAAUUUAGAUAUCAGAACAACGAACGAAUUAAAUCUACGGAUUUAAUUUAAAUUCAUUUUAUAACUUAUCGAUUUUAGAGAGAUAUCACAUGUCGAAAUCGAGAUUUAUGUAAAUACAGUAUCAAGCAGAAUCGAAGCCAGUAUUUUAUUACAGUUACAGAAUCACCGAGACAUAGAAAAUACAUCAUUAAUCCUACACUACAUUAUUAUUAUUUUUUUAUCUUCCACUACUUUGCUCCCCACUACUUUGCCCACCACUAUAUUUUGCCCACCACUAUACUUUGCCAAUCCUCUAUUAAUCAUCAUCUCCACCAUCCUGCAAUUAUCGAAGAAAGACUUCAUUUACUACUGCCAACUUCAAAGGAGUUCCAAUUCAUUCAACUCAGCAACAACAGUCAACCAACAAUUAUACUUCAAGGUAUUAAUUCUAUACCAAAUAUUCAUCCAGUUCGCAUAUCAUCCAAUAAGCUUGAUUAAUUAGAAAGAGCAGACUGUAUAGAUGUAUAUUUGCAUAAUGGACUUAGCAAAGUCACACACUUAUGUAAUCUAGAAUGAGCUUGAGUUAGUACAGAAAGAACAGCAUAAUCGGUAGUCACCUAGAAUAACCAACAACCUAUAAGCUUCCACACAAUUCAAUUGCAUUGAGAAUUUGCAUAAUCAGUAGCAAAACCACAGCAUUUCAUAACAAGAGUAUAGAAUAACCAUGAUUUCACGAGCUAUGAGAAUAGCAGCAGAUCGAAGUGCAUAAUAUAUGAUCGAAAAUAGAAUAUCAUAGGAUUGUAGAACUUAGCUUCGAAUGGGAAGGGGGCGACUGCCCUAUUCAGCCGAGCUGUGACGAAGAUUAAGACGACAGUUCUUGCUGUCACGGUGAAGUCCGAGAACGGCAACAGCAGCGGCGUGGCAUAACUCGAACCUCAUCGACCCCGGGAACAGCGAUAGCAACGGCAGACUCUUCCCUGGUCGCCGGAGGAACGCGAAGGAGAUGGCGGCAGAACCAUGGUGGCGGAGGUGGAAAAGAGACAGGGCUCGACUCCCUGCCUUGACGUCUGAAUCAGAACUGAACGGCUCCGAGGAGGAGGCGAGGCGACACCUUUCGCUGGAAAUUGCACAGCAGCAGCGGCGCCGCUCGCCGGUUCCGCGGCGGUGGCGGAUCGAAGCAGCGACACGGCGAAGCCGGCCUUCCAGUAGCAGCGGCGUCGGGGCUCGGGAAAUCGACGGCGGCAGUGGCCAGGUGUUCCUGCUGCCCGUCGAUUCAGAGAGAGCAGUGGGUGGACGGCGGCUGGACGCGGGGGUUGGUCGGCGGAGGGAGAGAUGUCGGGCCUGCUUCAGCGAGAAAGAAGAGAGAACCAAGGAGCAGUGGUUGUCGCCGCUCGCUCCGGCGAGCUCGGACGGCGGUGACUUCGGGAGAGAGAGAGAGACGAACAGAUCUUGAGAGAGGAGUCGGCGACUGCUCUGAAUCGGAAGACGGCGGCGCUGAAUCGAUGGAGCCCGAUUUGGUGGGCUGAGAACGAGAGAAAGAAGAGAGGCGAGGAGGCGUCGGACCUUGGCGCGGCUGUCGACCUCGCCGGAUUUCGGAGCAGCGGCGGCGAACCCUCAUUGAAGAAAGAGAGUCGAAUGAUUUUUGAGAAGAAGAGAGGGAUUGAGUUGAAAGAGAG